rnacentral:rRNA from 1 species
AGCGAACGCUGGCGGCAGGCCUAACACAUGCAAGUCGAACGAACCUUUCGGGGUUAGUGGCGGACGGGUGAGUAACACGUGGGAACGUGCCUUUAGGUUCGGAAUAACUCAGGGAAACUUGUGCUAAUACCGAAUGUGCCCUUCGGGGGAAAGAUUUAUCGCCUUUAGAGCGGCCCGCGUCUGAUUAGCUAGUUGGUUGAGGUAAUGGCUCACCAAGGCGACGAUCAGUAGCUGGUCUGAGAGGAUGAUCAGCCACAUUGGGACUGAGACACGGCCCAAACUCCUACGGGAGGCAGCAGUGGGGAAUCUUGCGCAAUGGGCGAAAGCCUGACGCAGCCAGGCCGCGUGAAUGAUGAAGGUCUUAGGAUUGUAAAAUUCUUUCACCGGGGACGAUAAUGACGGUACCCGGAGAAGAAGCCCCGGCUAACUUCGU